rnacentral:tRNA from 1 species
GCCGGAGUGGCGGAAUUGGCAGACGCGCCGGACUCAAAAUCCGGUGUGGGUGAAACCAUGUGUGGGUUCGAGUCCCACCUCCGGCA